GUCCAGCUGAUGAGUCCUAAAUAGGACGAAAUGCGCGUCCUGGAU
rnacentral:hammerhead_ribozyme from 1 species